AACUACUUUGCAAACUCUAACUGUAUAAUAUAUAUUACAGUGUAUUGUCUAUGCCUGGCUAUGGUGGUUUCUCCCAAGAGAUGCUUUUUACAGCCUUCCAGACAAAGGUAAUACAUCUCAAAGUGCUGGGAACAGAAUUGUGGCUAUACUGGUUCAGAUCAGGAUGUAUGCAACCUGUGUCUGGAAGUGUCUACAGCCAAAGACCGAGGAAGGAAUGAGAACUAGACAAGCAAAUCUACUAAUUCUUCCAGAUUCCACGUGCUUUCAGUUCAGGUUCACAGUUGUACUCUGAGCCUUAUCUGGCUUGUCUGUGGUAAUUCAAUGGAUUUCUUGUCCAAGCAUUUUUCAAUUAAAAUCAGUUUCACAGAUCAGCAA